CACACACACACACAGACAGACACACACACAAAGUCAGGUGUUGAUUAGUUUUCUAUAACAGCAGCUCUGACAAUAGUGCAGCUGCAAAUCACAGCUUUAUAUUAAUGCGCUCUUUCUAAUACAUUAUCAUUUCUAUAGUGUCAUAGGAGACGGAUGCAUGUGCAGUUUAGAAUUUAUUAAAAACUGGCAAAGAAAUCCAAAACAUGAAGCAAAAUCAUAAACAGGAAUAGGCAAGAGAUCAGGCAAGCAGCAAACAACAACAACUCAAGGGCAAAAUUCAAAAUGCAAUAACCAGGAAACAAUACGAGAUCAAAACCAGAAUAUCAGCUGAAGCGUCAAAAGGCUUGGUAAGAUCAGGUGAGUGUACACUUCAUGAGGCAGUGUGUAGAGGCAGGUUAUAUAGGCUGUAUGUGUGUUUGGAAACAGGUGCACAUGAUUAGUAUUCAGGUGAGUGUGAAUGAGCAGGUGGAGUGUGGAGUGCAGGUGGAUUGCAGUCUGUGGCGGCCAUGUUUGUAGGCCACAGUGUAGUCUGGGAAGUGGAGUUUCUGGUGGAUUCUGGCACUGGCGUGACGUAUAGCAACAGCUCGUUCGCAGGGGCUUGUGCGGCAGAUGCUCCACACAAACACAGUUUUGUUCAUUAUUUAUACUUUGUCCUGUGUGUGUGUGUUAGUGUGUGUGUGUCCUGUGAAGCAUAGAUCCUACAUUAUAAAAAAUGACUGACUUUAUUUUUCAGACUGGACCAGUGAUUCAUAUCCAGGUUUGAAACGUCAGCAUGGUGCUCGGCUUCGGGUUUAUAGGUGUCUAAUCAUUCGAGUCCAGACAGGAAAUAAUUGCCCGGGACCGUCGCCAAGACAACCAACGAGUGGACAGACUUUAAUGAAAGACCGGGGUACAGCUAAAGGACGAAAGUGUAUCUCAGACUGUCCAGGGCAGAUACUGCACAUGGCCUGCUGCCAGGUCCAAGCAGAACCCAUGGAAACGGGCCUAGCAGGCAAAGCUAAGUUUGGCCAUCAGCUAAUCAGCUUUGAGAUCUAGUCACAACUAGCAUGUGUAGUAAUGGCUAGCUGUACGUUUCUGCGUGGACUGAAUGGUAUCGCCAACCUUGUCAACUUCAGAAGCAAAACCUAAAAGCCAACAAGAAGAAACCAUUUUUUAAAAAAUGGAGUAACUUCUAAUUAUUAUAAUGUUUAUGCCAAUCUUGUUUAUGUUUCUAACAUGUUUAUGCUUCACUCAUUUCUUCAUCAUAUUUUCUGAAUGUAUAGUCACUGAUAAUGUCUAGCUGCACAUUUCUGUGUGGACUGAGUCAUUUUUAUACAGUAUUGUUAUUUUUUUAUUUUACAGGAUGACUUCGCUGUGUUUAUUUGUGAUGUCAAAUUUUCACUUUUUUUCUGUGGUAUUAAUGAUUUCUGAAGUGUGAAUUCUGUUAUGGCUCCAAACUGUGGCACAAUAUUGUCAAUAUGGCAGAACCCAUGGAAAAGUAGUUAGCGGUCAAUGCUAAGUGUAAGUUCUGUGUAAUAUUAGAUGUACUGAGUGUUUUUUUGGUUAUUAAACCACAGAUCUGAGGUAAAUGUUGACGUUCCCGAUAAUUCUGUCCCAUUUUCCCUGUCACAGUGACUAUCUAUGUAUAAAACACUUAAUGGCUAGGUA